GUAACACAUCGGAACGUACCCAGUUGUGGGGGAUAGCCCGGCGAAAGCCGGAUUAAUACCGCAUACGACCUGAGGGUGAAAGGGGGGGAUCGCAAGACCUCUCGCAGUUGGAGCGGCCGAUGGCGGAUUAGCUAGUUGGUGAGGUAAAGGCUCACCAAGGCGACGAUCCGUAGCUGGUCUGAGAGGACGACCAGCCACACUGGAACUGAGACACGGUCCAGACUCCUACGGGAGGCAGCAGUGGGGAAUUUUGGACAAUGGGGGCAACCCUGACCCAGCCAUUCCGCGUGAGUGAAGAAGGCCUUCGGGUUGUAAAGCUCUUUCGGCAGGAACGAAACGGUGUGGGCCAAUACCCUGCAUCAAUGACGGUACCUGAAGAAGAAGCACCGGCUAACUACGUGCCAGCAGCCGCGGUAAUACGUAGGGUGCGAGCGUUAAUCGGAAUUACUGGGCGUAAAGCGUGCGCAGGCGGUUCUAUAAGACAGAUGUGAAAUCCCCGGGCUUAACCUGGGAACUGCGUUUGUGACUGUAGGACUCGAGUGUGGCAGAGGGGGGUGGAAUUCCACGUGUAGCAGUGAAAUGCGUAGAGAUGUGGAGGAACACCGAUGGCGAAGGCAGCCCCCUGGGUUAACACUGACGCUCACGCACGAAAGCGUGGGGAGCAAACAGGAUUAGAUACCCUGGUAGUCCACGCCCUAAACGAUGCGAACUAGGUGUUGGAGAAGGAGACUUCUUUAGUACCGUAGCUAACGCGUGAAGUUCGCCGCCUGGGGAGUACGGUCGCAAGAUUAAAACUCAA
rnacentral:rRNA from 1 species